rnacentral:lncRNA from 1 species
GGGCGCGCCCUCCACCCUCGUGGAGGCCUCGUGUCCUCCCCGGACUGCUACUUAUUUUUCUAUUUUUCUAAAUAUUCCAAAACAGGGAAAUAUUGCCUUAAAAAUUGUUUUGGAGUCGGUUUACUUACGUACCACAUACCUAUUCCUUUUCGGAGUCUGGAACACUUUGAAAAGUGUCCCUUAUGUAUUCCUCCAGGGUUACGGUUUCAACAAUAUUAGUUUCAACAUUUAUAGGAUUACCUGAGAUAUAGUGUUUGAUCCUUUGACCGUUCACCACCUUCAGAUUUGUGCCUGCGAAGUUGUUGAUUUUUAUGGCACCGGAACGAUAUACCUCCUCGAUAACGUAAGGGCCUUCCCAUUUGGAGAGAAGUUUUCCUGCAAAAAAUCUUAAACGAGAGUUGUAUAGCAAUACAUAAUCACCUACAUUAAACUCACGCUUUUGUAUCCUUUUGUCAUGCCACCUUUUAACUUUUUCUUUAAACAGCUUGGCAUUUUCAUAAGCUUGGGUUCUCCAUUCAUCAAGUGAGCUAUCAAAUAACCUCUUCUCACCAGCAAGUUUGAAAUCAUAGUUGAGCUCCUUAAUAGCCCAAUAUGCCUUAUGUUCUAGUUCGAGAGGUAAAUGACAUGAUUUUCCAUAAACCAUUUUAUACGGAGACAUACCCAUAGGAUUUUUGUAUGCAAUUCUAUAGGCCCAUAAUGCAUCAUCAAGUUUUUUGGACCAAUUCUUCCUAGACCUAUUGACAGUCUUUUGAAAAAUUAAUUUGAGCUCUCUAUUGCUCAAUUCUACCUGACCACUUGACUGCGGGUGAUAUGGAGAUGCAAUCCUAUGAUUAACGUCAUAUUUAGCAAGCAUCUUACGGAAAGCGCCAUGAAUAAAGUGUGAACCACCAUCAGUCAUUAAGUAUCUAGGGACUCCAAACCUCGGAAAAAUAACUUCCUUAAGCAUUUUAAUAGAAGUGUUAUGAUCAGCACUACUAGUUGGAAUAGCUUCUACCCACUUAGUAACGUAAUCAACAACAACUAGAAUAUGAGUGUAACCAUUAGAGGCAGGAAAAGGUCCCAUAUAAUCAAAGCCCCAAACAUCAAAUGGCUUAAUAACAAGCGAAUAAUUCAUAGGCAUUUCUUGACGUCUACUGAUAUUACCAAUUCUUUGACAUUUAUCGCAAGACAAGACAAACUUAUGGGCAUCCUUGAAGAGAGUAGGCCAAUAAAAACCGGAUUACAACACCUUAUGUGCAGUUCUAUCUCCAGCGUGAUAUCCUCCAUAAGCUUCGGAGUGACACUUGCGUAGGAUCUGUUCCUGUUCAUGCUCAGGUACACAACGUCUAAUAACUCCAUCUACUCCUUCUUUAUAAAGAUGUGGGUCAUCCCAAAAGUAAUGUCGCAAGUCAUAGAAAAACUUUUUCUUUUGUUGGUAUGUGAAGCUAGGUGGUAUAAAUUUAGCAACAAUAUAAUUAGCAUAAUCAGCAUACCACGGAGUGCUACAAGAAGUACUUAUGACAUUUAAUUGCUCAUCAGGAAAGCUAUCAUCAAUAGGUAGUGGGUCAUCAAGAACAUUCUCUAGCCUAGACAAGUUGUCUGCAACGGGGUUCUCAGCUCCCUUUCUAUCAACAAUAUGUAAAUCAAAUUCUUGAAGCAAGAGAACCCAUCUAAUGGGUCUAGGUUUUGCAUCUUUCUUUUCCAUAAGAUAUUUAAUAGCAGCAUGAUCUGUAUGGAUAGUUACUCUAGAAUCAACAAUAUAGGGUCUGAAUUUAUCACAAGCAAAUACAACCGCUAAAAGUUCCUUUUCGGUAGUAGCAUAAUUUCUUUGAGCAUUGUGUAGAGUCUUACUAGCAUAAUGGAUAACAUUCAAUUUUUUAUCAACUCUUUGCCCUAGAACAACACCUACAGCAUAAUCACUAGCAUCACACAUAAUUUCAAAGGGUAAAUUCCAAUCAGGUGGCUGAAUAACAGGUGCAGAGACUAAUGCUUUCUUAAGUAUUUCAAAUGCUUCUACACAAUCAUCAUCAAAGACAAAUGAUACAUCUUUUUGUAAUAAAUUAGUCAGAGGCCGAGAGAUUUUUGAGAAGUCCUUGAUGAACCUCCUAUAAAAUCCGGCGUGACCAAGGAAACUUCUUAUACCUUUGAUGUCCUUGGGACAUGGCAUCUUUUCAAUAGCAUCAACCUUGGCUUUAUCAACUUCAAUACCUCGUUCAGAAACUUUGUGCCCCAAGACAAUACCUUCAUUAACCAUAAAGUGGCACUUUUCCCAAUUCAAGACAAGAUUAGUUUCUUCACAUCUCUGCAAAACUCGAGCGAGAUUGCUCAAGCAAUCAUCAAAAUAGGAACCAUAGACGGAAAAGUCAUCCAUGAAAACCUCACAAAUUUUCUCAGAGAAGUCAGAGAAUAUAGCCAUCAUGCAUCUUUGAAAGGUAGCAGGUGCAUUACAUAAACCAAAAGGCAUACGUCUAUAAGCAAAAGUACCAAAAGGGCAUGUAAAAGUAGUCUUUGAUUGAUCCUUAGCCGACACAGGUAUUUGAGAAAAACCAGAGUAACCAUCUAGAAAGCAAUAAUGUGUAUGUUUGCAUAGUCUUUCUAGCAUUUGAUCAAUAAAAGGUAAGGGGUAAUGAUCUUUCUUAGUAGCCUUAUUUAAUUUGCGGAAAUCAAUUACCAUCCUAUAACCUGUGAUAAUUCUUUGCAGAAUCAAUUCAUCUUUAUCAUUAGGGACAACAGUAAUACCUCCCUUCUUAGGGACGCAAUGGACAGGACUUACCCACUGACUAUCAGCAACGGGAUAAAUUAUACCUGCCUCCAGAAGCUUGAGUAUUUCUUUUCUUACCACUUCUUUCAUUUUUAGGAUUCAAACGUCGUUGAGGAUCACAAACUGGUUUGGCAUCAGCUUCCAAAUUUAUUUUAUGUUGACAUAGAGUGGGACUGAUGCCCUUAAGAUCAUCCAGAUUAUAUCCAAUAGCGGCACGGUGCUUCUUCAGAGUUUUCAAUAAUCUUUCUUCUUCAUGCUCUGAAAGGUUAGCGCUAAUAAUAACAUGAUAUAUUUUCUUUUCAUCAAGAUAAGCAUAUUUAAGAUUAUCAGGCAACGGUUUAAGCUCAAAUACGGGAUCACCCUUGGGUGGAGGGGGAUCCCCUAGUAUUUCAACAGGCAAAUUGUGUUGCAGAAUAGGUUCAUGUUUAAAGAAUACUUCAUCUAUUUCCCUUCUUUCAUUCAUGAACAUAUCAUUUUCAGGGUCUAGCAAAUAGUGUUCUAAAGGAUCACUAGGAGGUACAGCAAUAGAAGCAAGACCAAUAAUUUCAUCCUUACUAGGCCAUUCUUCCUCACGAUGUUGUUUACUAAAUUUAGAGAAAUUAAACUCAUGGACCAUAUCUUCCAAGCCAACAGUAACAACACUCUUUUUGCAGUCUAUCUUAGCAUUAACAAUACGCAAGAAGGGUCUACCAAAUAUAAUGGGACAAAAUCUAUCUUGUGGAGAACCAAGAACAAGAAAAUCAGCGGGAUAUUUGGUUUUCCCAUACAAGACUUCAACAUCUCUAACAAUUCCCAUUGGAGAUAUGGUAUCUCUAUUGGCAAGUUUGAUUGUAACAUCAAUAUCUUCUAACUCAGCGGGUGCAAUCUCAUGCAUAAUUUCUUUGUAUAAGUCAAUGGGUAUAACACUAGCACUAGCACCCAUAUCACACAAGCCAUGAUAACAAUGAUCUCCUAUUUUAACAGAAAAUAACGGGCACGCCUACCACAGGUCUAUGUUUAUCUCUAUCACAGGGUUUAGCAAUUCUAGCAGUUUCACCAGUGAAUUGAAUAACAUGCCCAUCAAUAUUAUCAGACAAGAGAUCUUUAACAAUAGCAAUAUUGGGUUCUACUUUGACUUGCUCAGGAGGUGUAUAAGUCCUAAUAUUGCUUUUACAAACAACAGUUGAAGCUUUAGCAUGAUCCUUCAUUCUAACAGGGAAAUGGGGUUUCUCAACAUAAGAAGUAGGAACAAUAGGAUCAUUAUAAGUGACAAUCUUUUCUUCAACUUUAAUAGGUGCAGGUACUUUUACUUUUAUGGGAGGAUAAUAUUUAAACCACUUCUCCUUGGGGAGAUCAACAUAAGUAGCAAAAGAUUCACAGAAAGAAGCUACUAUCUCAGGGUCAAGUCCAUAUUUAGUGCUAAACUUACGGAAAAUAUCGGUAUCCAUAAAAGAUUUAACACAAUCAAACUUAGGUGUCAUACUUGACUCCUUACCUUCAUCGAGGUCCCAAUCUUCAGAGUUGCGUUUAAUUACAUCCAAUAAAUUCCAUCCAAAUUCAAUAGACUUCAUCAUAAAAGAGCCAGCACAAGAAGUAUCGAGCAUGGUGCGAUUGUUAUCUGAAAGCCGAGCAUAAAAAUUCUGGAGAAUUGUCAAUUUUGAGAGCUCAUGAUUGGGGCAUGAAUAUAACAUUGAUUUAAGCCUCCCCCAAGCUUGAGCGAUGCUUUCUCCUUCGCGAGGCCAAAAAUUAUAUAUACAAUUGCAAUCACGAUGAACAAAGAUGCAUAGGGUAAUACUUUUGAUGAAAUUCCAAUUUCAAUCUUUUAUAGUUCCAUGAUCUCAUAUCAUCACAUAGCCUAUACCAUGUCAAUGUGUCUCCCUCCAAAGAUAAAGGGAAAGCCUUCCUCUUAACAGCAUCAUCGGGUAUACCUGCAAGCUUAAAUAGUCCACAAAUAUCAUCCACAAAGCGUAGAUGUUCAUCAGGAUGCUUUGUUCCAUCUCCUGCAAAAGUGUUAGCUAGCAGUUUUUCCAUCAUACCCGAAGGAAUCUCAAAAGAAGUUUCAUUCUCAAUAGGUUCAGUAGGUUCUGUAGGUUGAGGGGCAACUCUUGGCUCAACUGGACGGGGUGAAGAUACCCCGAACAAGCCCCUCAGACAAUUACUUUCCAUGGUAAUAAGUGACAGAAAAUUUCAGCACACUAAAUAAUUUUUUCCUUACCAAAUUCCACCUACCAAAGGCGCUUCACUUCCCGGCAAUGGUGCUAGAAAAGAGUCUUGAUGACCCACAAGUAUAGGGGAUCUAUCGUAGUCCUUUUGAUAAGUAAGAGUGUCGAACCCAACGAGGAGCAGAAGGAAAUGAUAAGCGGUUUUCAGCAAGGUAUUCUCUGCAAGUACUGAAAUAAGUGAUAACAUAUAGUUUUGUGAUAGGAUAAAUUAUAACGAGCAACAAGUAACAAAAGUAAAUAAAGUGCAGCAAGGUGGCCCAAUCCUUUUUGUAGCAAAGGACAAGCCUAGACAAACUCUUAUAAUAGGAAAAGCGCUCCCGAGGACACAUGAGAAUAUCGUCAAGCUAGUUUUCAUCACGCUCAUAUGAUUCACGUUCGGUACUUUGAUAAUUUGAUAUGUGGGUGGACCGGUGCUUGGGUACUGCCCUUACUUGGACAAGCAUCCCACUUAUGAUUAACCUCUAUUGCAAGCAUCCUCAACUACAACAAAAGUAUUAAGGUAAACCUAACCAUAGCAUGAAACAUAUGGAUCCAAAUCAGCCCCUUACGAAGCAACGCAUAAACUAGGGUUUAAGCUUCUGUCACUCUAGCAACCCAUCAUCUACUUAUUACUUCCCAAUUCCUUCCUCUAGGCCCAAAUAAUGGUGAAGUGUUAUGUAGUCGACGUUCACAUAACACCACUAGAGGUUAGACAACAUACAUCUUAUCAAAAUAUCGAACGAAUACCAAAUUCACAUGACUACUAAUAGCAAGACUUCUCCCUUGUCCCCGGGAACAAAUGUAACUACUCACAAAGCAUAUUCAUGUUCAUAAUCAGAGGGGUAAUAUUGUGCAUAAAGAAUCUGAACAUAUGAUCUUCCACCAAAUAAACCAACUAGCAUCAACUACAAGGAGUAAUCAACACUACUAGCAACCUACUAGCACCAAUCCCGGACUUGGAGACAAGAAUUGGAUACAAGAGAUGAACUAGGGUUUGGAGAUGAGAUGGUGCUAGUGAAGAUGUUGAUGGAGAUUGCCGUCUCCCGAUGAGAGGAGCGUUGGUGAUGACGAUGGUGAUGAUUUCCCCCUCCCGGAGGGAAGUGUCCCCGGCAGAACAGCUCUGCCGGAGCCCUAGAUUGGUUCCGCCAAGGUUCCGCCUCGUGGCGGCGGAGUCUCGUCCUGAAAGGUUCUCCUCUAUUUUUUUCUCAUCGAAAGACUUCAUAUGGGAGAAGAUGGGCGUCGAAGAGCCACCAGGGGGCCCACGAGGUAGGGGGGCGCGCCCAGGGGGGCGCCCCCCACCCUCGUGAGCAGGGUGUGGGCCCCCUGGCCUUCAUAUUUGGUGACGAUUUUUCUUUAUUUAUUCUAAGGUAUUCCGUGGAGUUUCAGGACUUUUGGAGUUGCGCAGAAUAGUCCUUCAAUAUUUGCUUCUUUUCCAGCCCAGAAUUCCAGCUGCCGGCAUUCUCCCUCUUCAUGUAAACCUUGUAAAAUAAGAGAGAAUAGCCAUAAGUAUUGUGACUUAACGUGAAAUAACAGCCCAUAACGUAAUAAAUAUUGACAUAAAAGCAUGAUGCAAAAUGGACGUAUCAGUACACGGGAAUUUCAUCUAGUCACUUUCAUCAUGUUGGUUUGAUUCGUGUUCGCUACUUUGAUAAUUUGGUAUGUGGGUGGACCGGUGCUUAGGUGAUGUUCUUACUUGAACAAACCUCCUACUUAUGAUUACCCCCCUCGCAAGCAUCCGCAACUAUGAGAAAAGUAUUAAGAUAAAAUCUAACGAUAGCAUUAAACUUUUGGAUCCAAAUCGGUCCCUUACGAAAUAACGCAUAAACUAGGGUUUAAGCUUCUGUCACUCUAGCAACCCAUCAUCUAAUAACUACUCCAGAAUGCAUUCCCUUAUUCCCAAAUAUGGUGAAGUACCAUGUAGUCGACGUUCACAUGACACCACUAAGGGAAUCACAACAUACAUAUCAUCAAAAUAUCGAACACAUAUCAAGUUCACAUGUUUAUUUGCAACAAGAUUUCUCCCUUGACCUCAAGAACAAAAGUAACUACUCAUAAAUGAUAAUCAUGCUCAAGAUCAAAGGGGUAUUAAAUAUCAUAAUGGAUCUGAACAUAUAAUCUUCCACCAAAUAAACCAGAUAGUAAUCAACUACAAGAUUUAAUCAACACUACUAGUCACCCACAGGUACCUAUCUGAGGUUCCGGUACAAAGAUUGAACACAAGAGAUGAACUAGGGUUUGAGAGGAGAUGGUGAUGCUGAAGAUUUUGAUGAAGAUUGGCCUCCCAAAGAUGAGAGGGUUGUUGGUGAUGACGAUAGCUUUGAUUUCCCCCUCCGGGAGGGAAGUUCCCUCAGCGGAAUCGCUCCGCCGGAGGGUAAAAGUGCUCCUGCCCAAGUUCCGCCUCGACACGGUGCGCUCCGCCCCGAAAUUCCUCCUCUUAUUUUUUUUUCUAGGUCAAAAUGACUUAUAUACUAGAAGAUGGGCACCGGAAGUGGGCCGUGCUGAGCACAACCCACGAGGGAGCGCCUGGGGGCCCUAGCGCGACCUAGUGUCUUGUGCUCAUUAGGUAGUUAUUUGCUCCAGUAUUUUUUAUAUAUUCGAAAACAAUUCUCCCUAAAUUUUCAGCUCAUUUGGAGAUGUGCAUAAUAGGUAACUCUGACAUAGCUUUUUUAGGUUUAGAAUUCCAUCUGUCGGCAUUCUCCCUCUUUGUGUAAACCUUGCAUAUUAUGAGAUAAAAGGCAUUAGAAUUAAUCCAUAAAGCAUUAUUAUGCAUAAAAACAUUAUAAAUAACAAUAGGAAAACAUGAUGCAAAGUGGAUGUAUCAACCACCGCCACCCGCAUCACUGUCGGUGACGGUUCCAGCCUUUCCCAUCACACAUGUUGGGCACACCUCAUUUCCUUCUAAUUCCAUGCCUUUAUCUUUGUCUAACAUACUUAUUUCAGCCCACCUCAUUAAAAAUCUUAUUUCCGUUUGUUGUUUCACUCGUGAAAAUACUGUACUGUUGAAUUUGACGAACUGGGUUUUUGUGUCAAGGACACUCGAACCAGGAUGGUACUUCACCAAUGUGAUAGCCCCGACGAGCUCUAUUCGGUGCACCCGCCCUCCUCCACCACCACCACUCUGAUUGCUCUCUCCGCUGGCGUCGAUCUUUGGCAUGCUUGUCUGGGUCAUCCCAACCCCGUCACUCUUUGUCAUAUUCUUCGGAGUUUCAGUUUUAGUUGUAAUAAGAUAGAGGAUCAUACUUUUCAUGCUUGUCGCGUUGGCAAACACGUUUGCCUUCCAUUUAAUAAUUCCACCACCAUUGCUUCUUUUCCUUUUCAGUUGAUCCAUAGUGAUGUGUGGACCUCUCCAGUUCCUAGUAAUCCAGGCUACUUAUAUUAUCUGGUUACUCUUGAUGACUACUCCCAUUAUGUGUGGACUUUUCCCUUGCGGAGAAAGUCGGUGCGCUUUCCACCUUGACGGCCUUUUACUCCUGCGUCAGCAUGCAGUUUGGGCGUCCCAUUCUUGCUCUUUAGACUGACAAUGGAAAAGAGUUCAACAAUCUUGCCUUCGGCACUUUUCUCUCGCACCAUGGCACAAUUUUUUGUCUCACUUGCUUGUAUACUUCACAACAAAACGGUCGAGCCAAAUGUGUCCUUCACACUCUUGAUGGUUACGUUCGCACGGUCCUGUUUCAUGCCAAUGUGUCGCCCCGCUUCUGGCCGGAUGCACUUGCUACCGUGUCGCUCCUUCUUAAUCUCCGGCCAUGUUGCCCACGUUGGAACUAUGCAUCUCAUCACCUCCUCUUUAGUACGCCACCCUCAUCUGAUGGUUUGCCUAUUUGUGGGUGUCUAUGUUUGAGGGAGUCCUGGAUUAUGGGGUCCUCGGAUGUCCGGUCUAUUCGAUAUGGGCCGGACUGAUGGGCCGUGAAUAUAAAGCAGAAGACUAUCCCUCGUGUCCGGGUAGGACUCCUAUAUGCGUGGACGGCAAGAUUGGUGUCCGGAUGUAUUAUUUCCUUCCCUUGUAAACCGACUCUGUACAACCCUAGGCCCCUCCGAUGUAUAUAUAAACCGGAGGGUUUAGUCCAUAGAGGCUAUCAGAAUAAUCAUAGGCUAGACAACUAGGGUUUAGCCAUUACAAUCUCGAGGUAGAUCAACUCUUGUAACCCUUAUACUCAUCGAAUACAAUCAAGCAGGACGUAGGGUUUUACCUCCUUUAAGAGGGUCCGAAUCUGGGUAAACAUCAUGUCCCCAUUGUCCCUUGUUACCAUUGAUCCUUAUACUCACAGCUUGGGCCCCCCUACUCGAGAUCUGUCAGUUUUGACACCGACAAUGUUACCCUAGAACCGCCGAUACUUGUCCUCCUAAACUUGCACCGUGCUCUCUCGCAUGCAUCUACAUCAGUUACCCUCCCAACUCCAAGGGCUAUCGGUGCUACGAUCAUGUGUCCCAUCGCGUGUUCACCUCACAACAUGUUUACUUUGAUGAGCAUGUGUUUUUGUUUCAGCAGGUACCUCAAGCCGCCCCUUCAUCACCGGUUGCUGACGGCGUGGGAUCGUCGGCUCCUCGCCCGGAGCGCUUGCGUGCCGCCCUCGACUCAUCCCUAGAUUUGAGGCGCGCCACCAGACCGCUGCUCCCUCUAGGUCCGGCGCUGGGCUUCCCAGCCCCGCGGGCUCCUCCGCCUCGACGCCGCCUUCGCAGGCCGGCUCGGCGUCGCCUGCAUCUUCGGUCACCUCAUCGCUGUUGUCACCAGACGGUUCGGCCUCGCCCCCAGUCUCAUCUCCCACGACGUCACCUUCAGCCAACGAGUCAACCUCGGAUGCGGCUUUGACGCCUUCUGGUGCGUCAUCACCUAUGGCCGCGGGUCCUCCACCACCACCUACGGUUGGUCCAGUUACCCAUGCUCGUGCGGGUGUCUUUCGACCGAGCUCGCGGUAUGCUUCAGAUGAGUAUGUCCACACGGCAUCCACCUCUACGCCGUCACCUUUGUCGUCCUUCGUUUGAGCUCCUCUUCGUGACCCGCUCUGGAUGGCUGCGAUGCAAGAGGAGUUUGAUGCCUUGCAGUGCAACCGGACUUGGUAGCUUGCCCCGGCCCCGGCACGCCAAUGUGAUUACCGGGAGGUGGGUUUUCAAGCACAAGCUCCAUCCUGAUGGUACCCUCGACCGCUAUAAGGCGCGUUGGGUUGUUUGUUGCUUUCGUCAACAUGCUGGCGUCAACUUCAGUGACACUUUCGCUCCGGUGGUUAAGCCCGGGACAAUCCACAUGGUUUUACACCUUGCGGUCUCUCGCGCCUGGCCGGUGCACCAGAUGGACGUCUCCAAUGCCUUCCUUCAUGGUCAUCUUAAGGAGCAAGUCUUCUAUCAGCAACCCAUGGAGGUUGUUGAUCCGGCACAUCCAGACCACGUGUGCCUACUUUCGUGGUUCUUGUAUGGGCUCAAGAAGGAUCCUCGUGCCUGGUACCAGUGCAUCACGAGGUUUCUUCAUGAGCUUGGGUUCCACUCUACACGCUCCGAUGCUUCGCUGUUUGUCUAUCACUAGGGCGCCGACAGCACAUAUAUGCUCUCUACGUCGACGACAUCAUUUUGACGGCAUGUACGCCUGGCCUCCUUAAUCAGCUCACUAAUCGUCUUCGCGCUGAGUUUGCCAUCAAGGACUUGGGUCCUUUGCACUACUUCCUCGGUAUUGAGGAGGUGCGUCGUUCAGAUGGUUUCUUCCUUCACCACUGGAAGUACGCUCAUGAGCUUCUCGACUGUGCUGGCAUGCUUAAUUGCAAACCCGCCGCCACGCCCGUCGACACGAAGGCCAAGCUCUCUGCCAUGGAUGGUUCUCCUACUUCGGAUGCUGCUUUUUAUAGGUCCAUCAUUGGGGCUCUUCAGUACCUCACUCUUACUCGACUGGAGCUCCAGUAUGCAGUUCAGCGGGCGUGCCUUCAUAUGCAUGGACCUCAGGGUGUUCAUUGGGCCUCCGUCAAGCGGAUUCUCCGCUAUAUCUAUGGCUCUAUGGAUGUCGGCAUCAUGUUGCGUGCCUCCACCGACACCGUCCUCACCGCAUACUCCAGCGCUGACUGGGCCGGCUGCCCCGACACCGUCGCUCCACUUUGGGUUACUCUGUCUUCCUUGGUCCAUCACUUAUUUAGUGAUCAUCUAAGCGGCAGCCUACGGUCUCCCAUUCCAGUGCUGAGGCUGAGUAUCGCGUUGUGGCUAAUGUCGUCGCCGAGUGCUCCAGGCUUCGUCAGCUUCUCCAGGAGCUUUCGUGUCCUGUCGACAGGGCAACGGUGGUCUACUGCGAUAAUGUCUUGGUUGUCUACCUCUCCGCCAACCCAGUCCAUCAUCGUCGUACCAAGCAUAUUGAGCUUGAUAUUCAUUUUGUUCGGGAUCAGGUGGCUCUUGGCCACGUUCGUGUUCUACACGUUCCUACAUCCCAACAAUUCACAGAUAUCAUGACCAAAGGCUUGCCUAUGACGUUCUUCGAGGAGUUCCGGUCCAGUCUUUGUGUCAGCAAUGAUGUCGCUUCGACUGUGGGAGGGGGUGUUGAGUAUAUGUAUUAUGUGCAUAUUUGUGUAUAUGGCCCACCUCCUAGCUCCUUUUAUAGUUGAUGUCGUGGCCCACCUUUGUACAUCAUAUAUACGUGCGAUUGCAAUCAAUACAUCAUUCAAUUCCAUCAUCAUACAGCCUGGAGUACCACCCUUAUUGCAUAUGCACUUCUCUGAUUUUAUACUUCAAGAUGAAGAAUCAAGGGAUGGUGCCACCUCUCUUGCUCUUAUCUCUGAUGGCCUUCUCCUUCGGCAUACAAUGACACUCUCUCCACUCUCACAUGUAGUUUAGCCUCGAGGGCUCCAUUGUAGUUAAACAGUAGUCAGUAAGCUAUAAGCACGGUGUUGCCGUCUGCCCGUGGGAGCAUACCAAUCCCAACAUAUCCCGUUUGCUUCCACAAAUGAACGUCGAUCGACAUGUCAAGCCAGUACUGUGUUCAUGUAUUAGACAUCACAGAUGUGGGACUAUUUCAUUAUCUCGCUGAUUCUGAGACUACUGAAAUAGUCCCACAUCUGUGAAACGUAUAGCUAGCAAAAUAUUUAUAGCUAGAAAAAUAUUUAUUUUCAUGCAACAAUGACUGGCGGAUACUAUUAAGUAAUCUAUAUUUAUUGUACAAGAUAUGUAUGCUGCAAAAUUAAUAAUCUGCAUAUUAGAACAAUUUUAAUUUAUAAGGGGUCAAUUCCACCCCCCCCCCCCAACUUUUUCCCGAGUUCAUCUUACCCCUAAAAAACAGUGCUCAACAAUACCCUCUGUCGUUAGAUGGUGUUAUGGAAAUAUCUCUCCGUGCCAUUUCCGUUGGGUCAAAGGCCUUUGAUCGUCUCCGAACCGUUUUCUGAACAUUUUUACCAUCAAUAUGUCUAUCACUUAAGGUGGGACCUGUAACUUGUUUAGAAAAAGCAAUCAGGUCCCUGCAACUUUUAAAGCCAAAGCAAUCAGGUCUUGUAUCAUUUUUAGAAAAAGCAAUCGGGUCCUUGUAAUUUUUUGGAAAAACUCAAUCGGGUCCUUGUGCCCAUGGCGGGGCUAGCUGUGCUGCUCUUGCUUGCGUCCAUUGCUGCUUGCCGCGCAGUUGCUUGCACCACUAGUCGUCGUUGCUACUUGCGCCGCCCGCCACCGCCGCUGCUUGUUGUCGCCCCACCGCUGUAGCUUGCGCCGCAGCCACACUACUACUUGCCGCCGCUAUUGCCUGCUGCUGCUACUUGCCCCGCUGGACGUUGUUGCUUGCGUCGCCGUCAGACUACUGCUGCUUUCCCUGCUGGCCGCUGCUGCCUACGCCGCCGCCGAACUGCUGCUUCUCGUCGUGCUGCUGUUGUAGCUUACGUCGCCUUCACGCUGCUGCGUGCCACCACUGCUGCCUGCAGCUGCUGCUUGCCGCCGCUGCUGCCUGCUCCUCUGGCGCCGCCCGCUGUCAUCGCUGAUUGCAUCGUCGCCGCGCUGGUGCUUGCGAGAGAGCUCGCUCGAGGGGACAUGAGAGAGAGAGAGAGCUCGCCGGAGAGAUUGAGAGGAGAGAGAGUUCUAUUUUUUGUUUUCUUUUUGGGUUCCAUGUGUAAGUAGUUGAGAUGAGAGAGUUUUUUUACUUUCUUCGGGUGGGUCCCACUUGUAAGUAACUUAAGAAGCGAGGGGUACAAAUGUCCAGGGAACACACCAUUGAUGGUCAAAGGUUGUUGACAAGACGGAAAUGGCAUGGAAGGGUAUUUCCAAAAUGGCACCUAACGGAAAAGGUGUAGAAUUGAGCAAUGUUUUUAUUUAGGGGUAACAUGAGGUCAGCACAAAGUUAGGGGGACAAUGUAAAUGUCCCUAUAAGUUAUAACAUGGUGUAUAUUUAUAUAACUCAUAAAUAUGGCACAUGUUUUGUGCAAUUAAAACAUGUGAUGUUGGAGUUUAAAAUUCCAGUAAACAUUUUUAACAACCACAUUCACGAAAAAUUUCUUGCAUCAUGGGUCCUGGAUGCUAUCUCAUUUCCCUUUGAUCAUCAUCAAUGUUGUGGUUCUCCCCUAACCCUUUGCUCUUCACUUCAUAUAUCUCAAAUAAAAAAAAUCACUCAACCUCCAAAGAUUGUUCAACAAACAAAAAGAUUGUCCCCAAAAUCUUUUGUUUCAUCUAUGAAAUAUGUUCUUGGAUUUUAAAAUAAUAUCUUGUGAUUCGAUAAAAAUAUUCGCAGAAUUCACAAAGCAUUCACAUUCUUGGUCAAAUGGUUCAACUCGUUUUUUUAAUGUUUUCAUCACAUAAAAACAUUGCUACGACACAACUAUAAUAUCUGUGUGCAAAAAAAAUGUUAAUUCAAAAUCUGGUAAACUAACAUCAAUUGAUUAUUUUGUAGCUAAACACAUGAAAGCUAAAAAGGGUACAAAUGAUAAAAGAAAAAUUUAAAUACUAUAAAUAAAUGAAAAUGUUAAUGCCCACACGUGUGGGCGUUUGCAUCUCGCCCACACGCGUGGAUCCGCGUCCGUUCGUGAGCGCACGAAUCUUGACAUGUUUCCAGUGCCACAUAGGACUGGCCUGGUGUGUGGGCGUUCACCCGGUCGCCCACACGGCCGUUUCACCAUAUAGGAGGGGUUGGUGUGUGGGCGUUCAGCAGUUCACGCCACACACCACUUUGCACGCACACACAGUGGCUAGUGUGUGGGCAUUUGCCAUCUCGCCCACACGCCCGUCUCCUCUCCCACAUCCAAGCUGCUAGUUGCCAUGUGUUUUGCAGCGCACAUGGCAACUGCCUCUAGUGUGCUUUAUAAGCAGGUGGCAACUCUCUUUUUUACCCGAGUUGCCAUGUGUUUUGCAGGGUACACGACAACUGCCCAAUGUUCACGUAAGCAGAUGGCAACUCUCUUUUAUCGAGUUGUCAUGUGUUUUUGCAUGGUACAUGGCAACUGCCCUAACGUGCACGUAAACAGAUGACAACUCUUCCUUUUUACAUGACAACUGCCCUAGCAUGCUUGUGAGCACAUGGCAACUCUCUCAACUGCCUAGUGUUAGUAUGUGGCAACUCCUAAAAUUAUGAAAUCAAGGCAACUACAUUAGAUCAGACCAUACAUGGCAACUGCAGUUGAGCAACCAUGGCAACCGCAGUUGUCCGACAUGGCAACCGUAGUUCAGCGACAUGGCAACUGCAGUUAAACAAACAUGGAUGAGCGUCUGUACCAUGGCAACUGCGGGCACGCGGUGACCGUCACGUGUGGCGUGCGGGACCAGGAGGGUACGAGGCCUGACAUACGGGAGUGUGGGCGUUAUCAACUUCGCCCACACGCACGCGUGUGAGAGGGAUCGGGAGGGAAAAAAAGAGGUGUGUGAGCAUUACUUGUUUUGCCCACACAUAGGUGUGUGGGUUGUUUCUCUUAUACACCACACAAAAUGUGUGGGCGAACUCCUUAACGUCCACACGUGUGGCACUUAUCGGCGUCCAAAAUAAAAUGGGUAUUUUUUUGUAAAGAAACAAGUGAAAGGGAAAGUAAUCAAAAUGAAAAAAGGAAAUAGGAAAAAAUGCUUUCCACAAAUGAAGAAGAAAAAUAUCGCCUAAGGCUAGUCCAGAAGGGAACUCUACAUGUAGGAUUAUUCCUUCCCUUGAUGUAUUAGGAAUUCUGGAAUAGUAUUUGUUGCUUGUUCUUUUCGGAAAAAUAUUUGUUGCUUGUGGCCUAUGGCAAUGCAAUCAUCCAGAAAUAAGAGAAGAAGGCUCCACCGAGCUCUCUCAGAGCUCAGGCACUCUCGGCCGUCGGAUCAUUUCCCUUAUGCGUUCUCGUCCGUCCGAUCGAGCUCUUGAGAAGCCUGGGCCGUUGGAUCUGGGGCAAACACUGCUGGAAUGAAUAGUAAUGGCAGCGAAAUGUUAAUACCAUGCCCCCACCGGGGUAUUUUGGUCAUUUCACUUGCCGGGGGUAUAAAAGGGCCGGCUCCCGUGGAGGCAACCCUAGACGGCUCCCCCCCUGCCGCGCGCCUCCUCUCCCCCUCUCUCUCGUUCCCCUCCCUCCUGCGCGCCUCCUCUCCUCCUGCCUCGUCGCCGCCUCCUCUCCCCUCCUGCGCCCGCCUCCCUGCCCUGCCGCCGGCGUCGCCACCGCCGCUCGCCCGGACACCCAUCCCCGGCCUCACGCCGCCCAUCUAGAGAGAUGGGGGCCGCGCGCGACGAGGCCGGCCUAGCCGUCGCCUCCUUCUCCCGCGACCGCGCCGCCCUCUCCUCCUUCCUCACGCAGCCGCCCUCUCCUUCUUCCUCCCGCCUCCCUGCCAUGCCGCCCCGCCGCCUCCUCCCUCGCUCGCUUCCUCUCCUCCCGCAAUCGCCUCCCUCCCUCCCUCGCUCUCGUGCAGCCGCCGCGGCGCUCCCACAUCUCCUCCCCUUCCUCUCCCAUAGCCAUGUUCGCAGAGGCGCUGUAGAUCCCCGCCGAGCAGGCCGCGCUGGCGCUUGGGGCGCUCGCCGCCGUGCUCCCCGGCGACGAUGACGCCCCCGCAGCGGACGGUGCAUCGGAGGCCGACCUCCACGGACGGCACGUGGGUGCCGCGGUGCUCGCGGAGGCGCUGCAGAUCCCCGCCGAGCAGGCCGCGCUGGUGCUCGGGGUGCUCGCCGCCGUGCUCCCCGGCGACGAUGACGAACCCGCAAUGGAAGGAGCUGGCGCCUCCCCGCCCCCAUCUAUCCACUCCGUCCAGGUCUCUCUCUCUCUCUCUCUCUCUCUCUCUCUCCCUUCCAGUUCCCGUUCUUACAUCCACUCUCGCUGCCAGCUCCUCCUGUACCCGCAGCAGAUAGAGAGAGGGAUGAUGUGAAGGAGAAGAGAGGAAGGAGAAGCCAUGCCCCGUCCACUGCGUCGUGCGCGACGACUGGCUGGGCUCUGUUUCAGCACCCCAAUCUUCCUACCUCUAUCCCCUUCUUUUUUCUCCAUCCCUUUCUUUCAGGUACUCUCUCUCUCCCUCCUGAUUAGCCUGCUCUCCUCUCUUAUGCACUCCUUUGUUUGAUAUAAUACCUGAAAUUUCCCAUCUUUGUGUUGCACUGGCAGAUUUUUUUGUGUACAUGCAUACAAGGCGCUCGAUGAAAAUCCAAGCAGGUUGCAAGGGGAGGCAAAUUCCAUUUUAUGCUCAUGUGUAAUCAUUGAUUUUUUUUCCUCACAUUUAGCAUGCAGUCAACUUUUACUUAUAUGUACAAUAUAUUACCUCUUUCAGUUAUAUGACUUGCACACACACAAUAUAUUGCAUCUGUAGGUCAUGUGACUUGCCUACGGAAGAUAUGAGUGUCCUCGGAAAAUAUUAUUAUGCUGGAUCUACUAUGGUUGCCACAUUAUGCAAGUCAGCAUUUAGUGAUCUAAAAGUUUAGACCAUGGCAUUAUGUUCAAUGCUCAGCAAAUCCACCCUUCGUAGGUAUGUUUGGCAGUUCAUUCGCAAGUGACUUGCAAUAUCUGCUUACUCAAUUUUUGGUGUUAAUUUUACCUUCUGUUCUAGCAUUGUGUGUUUUGUUUGAAGCUUUGAAGCAAUCCAGCAUUAGCUUUGCUAAAAAAUGUCGUUAUGUGCUGUGGUUACUGUUUGAUGUCACUUGGUUGUUUAUUCCUGACCACUACGUCUUGCCGAUGUCGUUCUUGCGGGCCUGAACUAUUUUGACAGGAUGCCAACUCCCCCUCCAUCCCAAAGGGGCCUGAAACAUAUGCACUUAUGUUCAACAACUAUAUUAUGAAGUAACUGCGUUCUUGCUUGAUCCAGCUAAAGUUCUAAACCAGUGGUUCAUAGGAGUGGUCUGUGUGGUUAUGCUUUGUUGUAUGAGUAGAUGAUGGUGGAUUUGAUCUGUUUGACUGCCUUUGAUAUGUUUUCCUGCCUUUGGACGCACUAUUGCCAUGUACUGCAACAUUUAUUCAGUGUAAAAUGUAGAUUUUCAGAAAUAUCAAAGAUUGAGAGAAGCAUAUUUAGGCCUGAAACUUUUAUUUUGCCACAACUUUUAUCGGCGCAUGUCGUUUAGUGAACUUGGCUUUGCUUGGUGGUUUAGCUUAGGCUGGCCUUUUUGGCAUCACUCAUCAGUUAGAUUGUCCUCUUAUAUGAGAACCUAUGAUGGUCAGUUCAAUAGAAAGCAGAGAAAAUGAUAGAUAACAUGAGCUAAUAUUUGGUUGAUGUACUAUUCAGGUGUGAAGAUCCAUUGAUAAAGUUUAUUUGAGGAAACUGUACCGUUCCAUGGACCCAUCAUUUCGGCGAGCCGGUCCUAUUAUUGCACUGAAGAGGCCAUCUCUUAGCAUUGAACCACAAGUUCAUGUUCGCAAGCUGAAACCAAGAUAUAUGUGUCUGAUAUUUGCCUCAAAUGGUCUUUGGGAGCAUCUUAGCGAUCAGUACAGGAAGUUGUAGUAGCUGCCCCAUCCUUUUUAAUCUAAAUGAUGGUAAGCACGAGUUAGAUUUUAUGACUACUAGAGGGGCAUAUUGUCACAGCAUGUGCUAUGUUGGACCAUAUCGAUUUUACUGAUGUAGUACAUGAUUUCACAGUUUUUUUCUAGCACAUAUACAUUAAUUAUUCUUUACAAAAAUAAACAGAUCUUAAAAUCUACUGAUAAAUGGAAGUAUGCACCUCUGCUUACUAAUAUAGAAUACUAUUUGUGUAUCUGACCUACUUCGAUUUAAUUGCUCCAUGUUCUUACCUUAGUGACCGUACUGCACAAUCUUAUACACUAAUCGGAGAGGAAAUAUAUUACAUAACAACGUGUGAAAGACCUGGUGAACAACAUUUUAGCAUGCUUUGUUGUGACAUUUCAGCCGCCUGCUGCUUUGAUUUAACUCUUUCUAUUUAUCCAUUUAGGUACUUCUAGGACACGGACAAUUGCCCUCAAGGUCAACACAUCAAUGCUCCCAAGCCCAUUCCCUUUUAAAAUUUUCUCAAUGUCACUUCUAUAGGUUUACUUGAGAUGUUAUGCUGCAUGUGUUGUGCUGAGGUUUUCCUACUUCCCUUUUAACUUCUCCUCUGAAUUUGAUCACAUGUUUAUGCAAUUGGACCAGAGCAACGACAUUACCUACAGCUUAUCAACACAAAGAAAGAGAGAGAGGGAGUCUCUCUCUCUCUCUCUCCCCCCUGACUCUUUGUGCUUGUGUUGACCCUUUGUCCAUGCGGUGGUCCUGUGGACUGCUCUUUCUGAUUUGGGGGGGAAAUAGGAGUUCAAGACGAGCUCAAUUGUGUUGUGAAGGUCAUAAACAGAUGCAUAAAGGUUAUUUUUUUUAAUAUAGAGCACAAAUAGAUAUUAUUUGAGGUGAUUUAUUCAUUUCUUAGUUCCAUCAUUAGCAUGUCCACAAAAGGAGCCAGUGUAGAAAACUAAGCGUGUUGAGGUUUAAUUGAUAUAAGAAUGUGUCGGAAUGGAAAUAUGAAAAUGUGUAUGUAUGAACAAGCUCAGAUCCAUUUCUCAUGUUUAUAUAUUUUUUAAUCAUGGGCUAAAGAUCAAAUGCUACCAUGCAGCACCAUAGUUGGGUAGUUUCGACAUCUUCUUCAGAUACGAAUGUGUAUGCAGGCGAAUAUGACAUUUCCCGUGCGAGAUCAAAUGACUUGAGCAUUACAUUGGUUCAACUGUCCCUCUCAUCAAGUAUUAUGUUUGCGAGAUGAACAAGACUUUCAUGACUCCUGGACAGAGGAGAAUGCCAAGGUCAAUUCUCACUUCGGCAUUUUUAGUACUGUACUAGAUCAAAUAUAUAAUGACCAAUAGAUAGUGAGUUUCUUUUGAUGGUGCACCAAAAUACAGUCAAUUGUUGGUGAUUAGGAAUUUAUUUAGGAUGCGUUGGGGCAUUUUCCCCUCUUACUGUGACUGUUUAGUUAAACAUGGAGGUUUUAGGUUUAUGUGUGCGGUAAAUACAAUGAGUCCAUUGCAAUUGGGUGUUGUCCUGUUGAGUAGUACUACUUAAGCUGUCCGAUUAUUUAGGGACACACAUAAUAUCUUCAGAAUUGGUUGUAGCAUGAAUCUUGUUGUUAACAUGGAUGCACAGAGCCAAAUUAUAUAAGAUGAACCUGUUGUAUAUAUGUAUGUUUUUUAUAAUGAUCAGAUCCAACCUUUGCGCUUGCUUUGCCUGUUGUAGUUUGCUUAGUAGAAAAUAAUGUUUCAAGGUCUUUUGAUGCUCGUUCUUCAUCUAAAGGCUACUUUACAAGCCAUAUUUGGUGUUCUAUUUUCUUAUUUAUGUAUAGGCUUUUAGUGCAGAUUGUCAUGGGACAGCUAAAACAAAAAAUCUUUAAACCUUUCCUGGGCAUUAUAAUUUGGUGCACUACUAAAAUGUUUACUGUUCGUGGCUAUGCUUCUCAUGCUUUCCCAAACAAGCUAUUGCUACUUACAAUUCCGAGAGUAGUAGAUGCAUGACGUGAUCAGAGUUCUUUACUUACAAUAUAUAUAAUGUUUGGUUGGUCUAUUCACUAUUUACUUAUAUCUUGACGCUGUUGUUGGUCCUCCUCUUGACGCCGUUCUUUAGGUAAUCUUCCCCUUCUCUCUUCGCAUAUUCUCUUCGAUUGUUUCUUACGUUUCUGCCUGUCUUGCAGCUGGAUCGGUGGCGCGGCGGAGGAGCUGUCUUCUGAGUUGACCAGAGAGGGAGCACACCGGAGAUGCUUCUGAGAUGGCCAAGGUAGUUCUUUGAUUCCUUGUUUGCCUUUUCGUUUGUGGUGUGUUGUACGGGUGCUGAUCCAAGAUUGUGUUCUUUUCAUGGAUCUAUUUAGGGUUUACUGAUCGAUCCAUCCUGAUUGGGAUCUGUUCGUGGUUCUGGUUGACUGGCUGGUGCGUCGUGCCGUUGCUGGUGCUUGAGGUUGUCUCGCUGGUUUCCUUGCAGUAUCGUCGAUCUGUGCAUCCAGGCACCCCAAGCUUUUCCUCGCGCGAUGGCAUCAGGCGCACGGAGGGAGCUCUUCUCGGUCGAUGUGGUGAACAACGACCGUGAUCCCGUUCCACGUCGUCACCUGCUAGCAAGGUAGACCCCGUUUGCUUGGUUGACUCUAAAGCAUGCCUGCGCUAGAUUUGUUCAAGAUUUAUGCAAUUGGGCCUGUCGUUGAUCUAUGAAUAUUAACCUAAUGAAUUUAUUAAACGAUCUAAAUACCACCUAUUCAUAGAUUAACUUGUGCCACCGUUGAUUUUUUACUUAUUGUGUCAUUCUUAUUUUUGAGGCUGGCCUGGCACAUUCUGUUUCCAAAUAUAUUAUAUUAAUAGUUUGGCGUCUCAUUAACUGACGAGAUGGUCAGGACAAAGGUUGUGCUUAGUGUCGUUCAUGGUAACGUUGGUCUGCUUGAUGCAAAAUACAAGCACUACAGGAACUACAUCAGUGUAAUCGUCUUUUUCUGGCCGUUCCUGGCGCACUGUUUAAUUAGUCACCUUGCCUCUCUUUCACUUAACAUUGUUUAAUUAGACUUCUCACUAUGAUUAUCCAGGACUGCUUGGCCUCUUAUUUUGAUUAGCCUAUCAUUAAAGUUGGAAACACCAGAAUUGACGCUUGCGCAUGAGUGCGUACAGGUUGUCCUUGGGAUUUUCUUCUUUGCAAACUCGAUUGAUUGUUGAUACGGUUUCCUAGGCUAUUGUUCUUUGUACAACACAUGAAGCAAUCUGCUCAUGUGUGUGACUUAGUCUGAUUAUUAGGCUUUAAAAUUUCUGCUGGUUUAUCUUAUAAUUCAUGGUAGCAUUUGAUUUUUUUAUCAAUUACCAUGUCUCAGUUGUAGAACAGGACAGUAAGAGUCUAAUAAAACUCUUGCACAACAAAGAUUGCCAUCCUUUAGUUACCCAGACCUUUGUUUUCGUGGUAUAAAAACCCACUGCUGUCAAACUUUUUCUUUUUGAAACGGACUGCUAUCAACUUUAGUACUCUCGAAAAUCAUAUAACUAUUUUGAAAUUUCCUAUGACAUAGGCCAAGACAAGCAUCGUAAGGGUCCAGUUAGAAUGAUGACUGAUAUCCUGUUAGAGCAUCUUGGGCUUCACAAGGCCAUCUGAGACUCGGGCUCAAUGAGAACACGAUGAGGUACAUAGAGAACUCCAGAAACACUAUAGUGAAGGAUCUAAACUAUGACAGGCUGAGCAGAAUGCAGAAAGACUUUUGCUUAUCCGAGACUCGGGAUCGAUGAGGCAUUUGACAUGAUAAACAAGUGCCAAAGGUUACUUGUAUGAUCUGAGAUACAUGAGCUCCUUCUCAGACCAACUUCAUAAUGUGAUAGCACAUGGCUUUCCUCCUACCCGUGUCGUGGAUACAUUGACAAACGUGACCCUUAUGAAUAUUGAAGUGGUGGCACAUAACCUUGAGAGCAGAAGCAAUCAUCUGUUGAAGAGGCUGCAUGCCAUAAAAAGACACUCUUUAGGCGCAACAGCAUGAGGUGUUUGCACCAAUUGAUUUCUUCACACCAAGGCCAUGGCGUUGAUCAUCUAUGGACAUCACAGAUCACCUAUUCUAACUCUGGCAAGUACGAGAUGAUAUAUGAUGCCACCAGCUCCUGUGAUGUACCGUGUAAACUACUGUGUGAUCUCCCUCUCCUUUUGUGAACACGUCCCCUUUGGCACGUCUAUUCAUACUUUUGCACUCAAUAUUUAUGUGUAUGAACAUUGCAUCCUUUAAUUUACCUUGUAUAUGAACAUUACAUCCUUCAAAUAUGGUGUACUAUAUUUUGGUAUCCAUGGAUGAUGUCUUGCUU